rnacentral:rRNA from 1 species
GAUGAACGCUGGCGGCGUGCCUAAUACAUGCAAGACGAGCGAACGGACGAGAAGCUUGCUUCUCUAAUGUUAGCGGCGGACGGGUGAGUAACACGUGGAUAACCUACCUAUAAGACUGGGAUAACUUCGGGAAGCCGUAGCUAAUACCGGAUAAUAUUUUGAACCGCAUGGUUCAAAAGUGAAAGACGGUCUUGCUGUCACUUAUAGAUGGAUCCGCGCUGCAUUAGCUAGUUGGUAAGGUAACGGCUUACCAAGGCAACGAUGCAUAGCCGACCUGAGAGGGUGAUCGGCCACACUGGAACUGAGACACGGUCCAGACUCCUACGGGAGGCAGCAGUAGGGAAUCUUCCGCAAUGGGCGAAAGCCUGACGGAGCAACGCCGCGUGAGUGAUGAAGGUCUUCGGAUCGUAAAACUCUGUUAUUAGGGAAGAACAUAUGUGUAAGUAACUGUGCACAUCUUGACGGUACCUAAUCAGAAAGCCACGGCUAACUACGUG